rnacentral:lncRNA from 1 species
AUGUACCCCCGUCCCACCAACAACCAGGCCCACCGUCCAUGGGCAGCUGUCUCAGCACUGAGCUCUUCACCACACUUCCCUAAAGUGAGGUUUCCACGUGGAUUCCAGACUUCCUCCAUCCCAACUCCCCCACCAGGGGGCUCAGAUGAUUUCCAUGGGGGAGAGGUUUUCCACCUGCUUCCUGCCCACUUCCUGUUUCCCACAUACUUCCUGUCUGCUUCCCACACACUUCCUGCCCACUUCCUGCCUGCUUCCCAUUCACUUCCUGCCUGCUUCCUGCCCACUUCCUGCCUGCUUCUGGCCCCUGCUCCUGUGCCUGGUCUCCAGUCUCACUCCCACACCGCACCUGGGCCUCCUCUAGCCCUGUCUUCUGCCCGAGGCCGCAAUGUGCCAGGUGCCACGUUGGGCCCAGUUUGCCUCCAUCAGACACAGCCACCUGUCUGGCACAGGACUCCUAGGGUGCAGCAGGGACAAGCCCUGGGGCUGGGCCAGGAGGAAGGAGGCUUCCCGGGGAUCCAGCAGUGUGUAAAUAAUGGCAACACCACUGUGUCUUACCCACCCUCCUCUAGGUUAGCUCGCCUGUGCAAACUGCCCCUUGUCCUAUUAUAUUUGUGUCUCCCUUUGCCCAGGGUUGUAAGUGCCAAAGAAAACCACCUUUGUCUGGCUAAGACACUAACUGCUGGGCUCAGCUACUGCAGGAAAAGCAGCCCUGAUCAGCGAUCCUCCAGCCUCCCACAGACUGCGACAUCUGACAUCUUCAGAUAACACCCAAGCAUGGGCAGGGACUGGCCAAUCCUGUUCUUUAAAGUGAAACAGUGUUUACUGUUCAAGGAGAUAGCCCCUUUUCUAAAGAAUUACAGGGACUGGCCUAAGAGAAGAAAGUCGAUUGUUGUCUCCAGGGCGUUCUGGCAGGAGAGAAAGGAAAACUCAGGCCCCGAUGACCAGAGGCCCUCAGCACACGCCCGCCCGGCCUCCUGCCCUUGGCCCUGGAGCUCUCUUUCCACUUCUGCUACCUGGGUCCCCUAACGAGGCUUGCUGGGGGACCAUGGCGCCCGCUCUCCUUCCUGUCCACUGAUCUCCCGAGCAUUGGCUUCUGAGUGGCGAGCGGGUGGUCUCGGGUCCAGCGGCGCAGUCCCUUGGAGAGCAGCGGCUUCGUGAUCAGCAGUCAGGUCCACAGCUGCUCAGGGGUGACCUUUCUCUGAGUCAAGGAAACUCCGGGACUUCAGCACUGCGCUGGUGCUCAGAGGCCCAGUCUCUCAGGAACACAGGAAAGCAGGCCAAACACGAACACACAGCAAGCGCCCGGCGCCUCUGGGACCCAUCUGCUCACCUGUAUGUGAUUAGAACAUAUAUAAAUAGCCUAUCAAACCCAAGGUGCUAUGGAUAUUAUUCUGUAGGGGGGGGAAACUAACAUUUUCUAAUCAAUCUGAAUUUUGAAAGUAAAUUAUGAUGCAUAGAGUAAUUGGGUAAAAAAUAAUAAAAAAUGGUAAGGAAAUAAAGCCUGGGGCAACUGGCUUUAGGGAAAGGGGGUGUGGCCCUCCCUCCCGCCGGCUGAGGCAGACUUUACCCCUGCAGAACACCUUUGCUUCUGUCUUUUGUCUGUCUUCCAUGUUUAGGGGUGUUCAAAACCGUGAGAUGGUUCUGUAGCUCCAGGUUUGCAUUUCCCUCCUGUGUUACUCAUUUUUGCCAAACAAAGCAGCUCAACACAGUGAGUGGGUGGAUGGAUCCCUUCCAGAGGCUCUAGGCUGUCUGGCACCUGGGGGAGGAGGCGACUCCUGUGGAAUAACGCUUGCUUGCUUUCAGGGUGCUCUCGGCCUCUUGGAUCCGGAGUCACUGGGUCUCCUCACUCACUUGUCGUCUGCCCCCUCCCCCCGCCCCAUGAGUGAGCCCCCUUGCUGGCAGCUCCACCCGUGUCCCCAGCAACCCAGCUGACAAAGGCCGGGGGUGAGUGUCUGCUCCGUGGGAACACACCGCUCCGUGUGCAAGGUCUGUAUUCCCGGGUGGAUUCGGCUGAGGACAUGGGGCGGCUGCAGAGAGGGAGGAACCAGGCCGCAGGGCUUACCUGGGAGUCUGAGGAGGUGGGCUCAGGGCUAGGCCUGGUGCUGUGGGCUUCCAAACAUGUUUGAGCUUUCAGCGUUUCGGGCAAGGACCCCGACAACUGUAUCAGACCCUGAGGAUGCUUCUUGCUGCCUUCUGUCCCCCACCUGGGGACAAGCCUGCCCGGAAGUUUGCAGCUGGCCAGGACACAGGAGUCAGGCGCUGUCGUCAGACGGGAGGUCUGAAGGUCUUCCUGCUGUGCUGGACACUGCAGAGCGGAGACAGCUCGGCUCGAGCUUUCCCUUAGCAUCCCUUCCCCGGAGCUUCUUGCCUCCCCUGUGUUCUCCUCGGCCUCUGUUACUCAGAAGAGAAUUUUGGAAUUCCCGACUUUACGUAGGGCUCGCAAAGUUGGCUUCUCCUUCUGGUUUCUAAAUUACAUGCAGUCAGGACAUGCGCUGUCCCUGGCACUGACUGGAGAUUUCCUGAGGCGGCUUUGUCUCAUCCGCCUCUCCUUCCUGACUUUCCUCGUGGUGAAUCCUCUCUCUGCCCGGCCCUGCUUGAUGCAUUUUGGAGCCGCCUGCAGAGCACCCAGGUCCGGUGCGGGUGUCUCUGGGCAGAGCCCCUGGCACUGCGUCCCCUCCGUCCCUCUGACCCUGCGCACUGCCUCUGCCCGAGCCCAUUUCAGGGUGCAGGGCACAGCCCGCCUGUCUCCCGGGGUGUCUUUCCCAGUUUGUCUGAGUGUUUCAUCCUCCAGAAAUGUCCUGAGGCAGAGCGGAUGGUUCCUGGGGGCUCAGCAGCCGCAGGUCAGGGCUUUUUGUCUUCAUUUCCUCCCUUUCUUUUUCAUUCCUUUCUCUCCAGCACUUAAGAUGGAGCCUGGGCCUGUUGAGAGAGGCAAGUGCCCCACCGCUGCCCUGAUCUCCCCUCAACAAGCCCUCCCUGAGCCACGCUGAAAUUGCCACCCCAGCGAACGAGGAGGCCAGCAGAAGUGACAGCAGCAGCAAGACCCUCCCAGUGCUCCAGGGGUGCAGAGCAAGUGGCCAAGGCAGCAGGGUGGGAGUGCCCGCCGUGGGGUCUCUGCUCCCUGGAAGGGCACUGUGACACCACGAUGGCCUCCACCUGUGCCCGGCAGACCUGGAGGACAGUCAUCUGUCCGGCCUCGCAUCCCAGCCAACCGCAGAGCAGAGCUGCCUAACUCAACGCUUCCGUACUGCCACUCCCCAGUGACAGAGUGACGGCCAUGCACACAGCACCCCACCCCUUCACGUGCCAGAGGUCCUCAUCCUUGCGAGGAGACGCGGACUCUCUGCCCGUGCUGCACCGCCGCCUUCUGCAGUGUCACAGCCAGCCCUGGAAUCUGGUGCCGGAAAUUCUCCGACUGCCCUUCCUGCCUCUCCCUCUCUUCCUCCUCUCUCCUCUCCUUUUCUCUUUUCUUUUCUUUGCAUCCUUCUUUCUUUUCAGUAAUAAGGAUUGAGCCCAGGGUCUUUGCACUGACCUACAUUCCCAUCCUUUUUUUUUUCCUGUACUGGAAAUGGAACUCAGGACCUUGUGCUUACCAGGCAGGUGCACCACCACUGAGCUAAAUCCCCAGCCUUUGGGGUUUUCUUUUUGAGACAGGGUCUUGCUCUGUAGUUCAGGCUGUCCUUGAACCCACUGUGUAGCCCAGGCAGGCCUUGAACUCACAGCAAUCCUCCUGCCUCAGCUUCCCGGGUUCUGCAAUUACAGGUGUGUGCCACCUCACCCAGCUUUAUGUUUUGAGAAAGCGUCUUGUUAAAUUGUUGAGUUGCCCAAGCCGUGCUCAAACGUGUGACCCUCCGGCCUCAGCCUCCUGAGUGCUGGGAUCCCAGGAGUGUAGCUCCACGCCCAGCUGUAUGAUCUGCCCAAGUAACAGCUGCUACUGAAGACGACUACUUGGGAAUAGUGACUGAUGAGUGGAACAGGGCCGUGUGGCACCCAGGGAAUCGCUGGGCCAUCACUGCGUUUCUACGUAGUGCACUUCCCCUCCUGCAGGAAGCCCCGGGGCUCGACCAUGAGCACACAGCUGACCCCGAAAGGAGCCCAGGGUGCGAUGUGUGUGCCCACGGCCGUCCGCAGGGCCAUGCUCCCUGCCUGAGCCGGGCCCGACCUCCUCAGGGGUCCAUGUGAGCGCUGAGCUCCACCUUCCUCCCCCACCGGUAAGAAUUUGGCCAGAACAAGCCUGGAAAAGAAGCCCUGCUGUUUAGGGCAGAUGCCCCUCCUGUACUGCGCUGCGGAGAAAGCUGGAAUGGAGGGGACGGGGCCCUGAAAACCCCUCCCUGCCCACAGGCCAGGCGGCCAGUGAGGUCUGAGGUUUCCCCGUCAGGGAUGCAGGACUGCGGCUAACCCCAGGCCACCGCCACUGCCUGCUGGGAAGGGCACAGACGAGAUGUGUCACUGGUCGCCACGUCCACACUCCAAUUUCCUGCUUCCCAGAUGUCCAGGACUCGUGCCAAGCACAGCGGCUCGGGCCUGGAAUCCCAGCUACUUGGAAGGCUGAGGCAGGAGGAUCAUGCGUUCGAGACCAGGCUUGACAAUUUAGGGAGAGCCUGUCUCCAGAUGAAGGAUAAAGAGGGCUGGGCGUGGCUGUGUAUGGAGACCUUUCCCAGAAAGACAGCUCCUGGGUCCCGUCCCCAGCGCAGGCACACGUCUCUGGGACCCCGCCUAAGCUGACCCACUGCAGGGUGAUGGCACAGAGCCUGACAGGGGCUGCCUCUGAGCUCACCAGCCCUGUCAGCUCGAGGAGCCUGUCUGGGCAGCUCCUUCCACUCGGACACACCAACCGGGAGCAGAAGGGCAGCGCUGGGUUCCUGGGUGCUGGAAAUAGCCCAGCAGCGUGGGUGCAGAUAGAGGAGAUGGGGCUGAGACGUGAGUCAGAUGCAGCUCCUCAAUGCCAGAGCUUCUAGAGAUGAGUAUUUUGGGCUGUCCUGGAAGGCAGCUCUUCAGGACCUGGAAGGGAAAGUGGGAAGGGCCCUGCCUCCCACUACCCUGGGUGGGGUGGGGAGUACUCCAGCCCCAUGGGGCAAGCCGAGUGCCAGCAGGCAAGGGGCUUGGGGCCCAGCAGAGGCCCCUGCAGGUGAGGAGGGAAGGGUCCAGAGAGUCGAACCCAAGGGAAGGCUGGGCUUCUACCUCUGCAGGCUCCGGCCGUUCAUACAGCAGCUCAGUGUCCCACUGCAGAUCCCAGUGUCUGACCGCCUCAGUUUACUUGGGGUGCAGCAGGGUACAGAGACAGGGGAGUGGCCCCUUGUUGGCCAGGUGAUGCCGGGAAUCAGCCUGUGACACUGCCCUGCAGCAGGCCUGGUGACCCCAGGGGACUGGGGGUCCCACAUUGCUCUGUGGAUGAACUUCCUGUUGCAUGAAGGCAGCCAAAAUGAAAUGUGAGCUCUGGGGCUUCCGGGCCACCCGUGAGGACCAGGGACCUGAAGGCCGAGAGGGUGCAGGGUGGGUGGCAAGAGCUGCCUGGGGCCGGGGUCCGUCGCUCCGAGCCCAGUUGAUGCCUCUGAGCGGGAAGGAUGCAUUG